UACAGAGGGUGCGAGCGUUAAUCGGAUUUACUGGGCGUAAAGCGUGCGUAGGCGGCUUUUUAAGUCGGAUGUGAAAUCCCCGAGCUUAACUUGGGAAUUGCAUUCGAUACUGGGAAGCUAGAGUAUGGGAGAGGAUGGUAGAAUUCCAGGUGUAGCGGUGAAAUGCGUAGAGAUCUGGAGGAAUACCGAUUGCGAAGGCAGAUCACUAAUACUGACGCUGAGGUACGAAAGCAUGGGGAGCAAACAGG
rnacentral:misc_RNA from 1 species